rnacentral:rRNA from 1 species
AGUUAAAGCUCGUAGUUGGAUUUUGGUUAAGAGGGCGCGGUCGGCCGUUUGGUCUGUACUGCGUUGUCUUGACUUCCUGAUGAGGACAUGCUCUUGGUUAACGCUGAGACAUGGAGUCAUCGUGGUUACUUUGAAAAAAUUAGAGUGUUCAAAGCGGGCUUACGCUUGAAUAUAUUAGCAUGGAAUAACACUAUAGGACUCCUGCCCUAUCUCGUUGGUCUCGGGAUGGGAGUAAUGAUUAAGAGGAACAGUUGGGGGCAUUCGUAUUUCAUUGUCAGAGGUGAAAUUCUUGGAUUUAUGAAAGACGAACUUCUGCGAAAGCAUUUGCCAAGGAUGUUUUCAUUAAUCAAGAACGAAAGUUGGGGGCUCGAAGAUGAUUAGAUACCAUCCUAGUCUCAACCAUAAACGAUGCCGACUAGGGAUUGGUGGAUGUUAAUUGAUGACUUCACCAGCACCUUAUGAGAAAUCAAAGUUUUUGGGUUCCGGGGGGAGUAUGGUCGCAAGGCUGAAACUUAAAGGAAUUGACGGAAGGGCACCACCAGGCGUGGAGCCUGCGGCUUAAUUUGACUCAACACGGGGAAACUUACCAGGUCCAGACAUAAGUAUGAUUGACAGAUUGAGAGCUCUUUCUUGAUUCUAUGGGUGGGGGGU